UACGAAGGGUGCAAGCGUUACUCGGAUUUACUGGGCGUAAAGCGCACGUAGGCGGAUCGUUAAGUCGGGGGUGAAAUCCUGGAGCUCAACUCCAGAACUGCCUUCGAUACUGGCGAUCUUGAGUCCGGAAGAGGUGAGUGGAACUCCUAGUGUAGAGGUGGAAUUCGUAGAUAUUAGGAAGAACACCAGUGGCGAAGGCGGCUCACUGGUCCGGUACUGACGCUGAGGUGCGAAGGCGUGGGGAGCAAACAGG
rnacentral:rRNA from 1 species